rnacentral:misc_RNA from 1 species
AAGACUAUAGACCUGCGGAGUACCUGCGGAGGGAUCAUUAAAGAGAAAACUGCCCUUUGGGUAGAUCUCCCACCCUUUGUUUACCUUACCUUUGUUGCUUUGGCAGGCCCGUCUUCUGACCACCGGCUUUAGCUGGUCCGUGCCUGCCAGAGGACCCCAAACUCUUAAUUUUAAGUUGUCCGAGUCUUAUAAAAUAGUAAAAACUUUCAACAAUGGAUCUCUAGAUCGGAAGAGCACACG